UACGUAGGGUGCAAGCGUUGUCCGGAAUUAUUGGGCGUAAAGAGCUCGUAGGCGGUCUGUCGCGUCGGCUGUGAAAACUCGGGGCUCAACUCCGAGCUUGCAGUCGAUACGGGCAGGCUAGAGUUUGGCAGGGGAGACUGGAAUUCCUGGUGUAGCGGUGAAAUGCGCAGAUAUCAGGAGGAACACCGGUGGCGAAGGCGGGUCUCUGGGCCGAUACUGACGCUGAGGAGCGAAAGCGUGGGGAGCGAACAGG
rnacentral:rRNA from 1 species